rnacentral:rRNA from 1 species
CCUACGGGAGGCAGCAGUGGGGAAUAUUGGACAAUGGGGGCAACCCUGAUCCAGCCAUGCCGCGUGUGUGAAGAAGGCCCUCGGGUUGUAAAGCACUUUCAGUGAGGAAGAACGCCUGGUGGUUAAUACCCAUCAGGAAAGACAUCACUCACAGAAGAAGCACCGGCUAACUCCGUGCCAGCAGCCGCGGUAAUACGGAGGGUGCGAGCGUUAAUCGGAAUUACUGGGCGUAAAGCGCGCGUAGGUGGCUUGAUAAGCCGGUUGUGAAAGCCCCGGGCUCAACCUGGGAACGGCAUCCGGAACUGUCAAGCUAGAGUGCAGGAGAGGAAGGUAGAAUUCCCAGUGUAGCGGUGAAAUGCGUAGAGAUCGGGAGGAAUACCAGUGGCGAAGGCGGCCUUCUGGACUGACACUGACACUGAGGUGCGAAAGCGUGGGUAGCAAACAGGAUUAGAUACCCCUGUAGUC